CUCCCCCCUUUUUUCCCGAAACAUGUCCUAAUGAUUUAUAUAAUAUUAGGUUUUACCUGCUCAAUGAUUAAUUUAAUUAAAUAGCCGCAGUAUUUUGACUGUGCGAAGGUAGCAUAAUCAUUUGUCUUUUAAUUGAGGACUUGUAUGAAUGGUUUGAUGAGGGAAUAACUUUCUUUAUAUUAAUUAUUGAAUUUAAUUUUUAAGUAAAAAAGCUUAAAUAUUAAAAUGGGACGAGAAGACCCUAUAGAAUUUUAUUUUAUUAUAAUUAUAAAGUUUUUGGUUAAUUGUUAUAAUUUUAUAAUUUUUAUAGAAUUUUGUUGGGGCGACAGUGAGAUUUUAAUAACUCUCAUAAUAUAUUAUUUAUUAAUUUGUAUUUUUAAAGAUCCUAUUUUAUGGAUAUGUAGAUUAAAUUACCUUAGGGAUAACAGCGUAAUUUUUUUGGAGAGUUCUUAUUGAUAAAAUAGUUUGCGACCUCGAUGUUGGAUUAAAAUUAGUUUUAAGUGCAGAAGCUUAUUUACUAGGUCUGUUCGACCUUUAAAUUUUUACAUGACGGUUUUUUAACCGG
rnacentral:rRNA from 1 species